rnacentral:rRNA from 1 species
GACGAACCGUGCGAACGUUAUUCGGAAUCACUGGGCUUAAAGAGCGCGUAGGCGGGCCGGCACGUCGGUCGCUGAAAUCCCCCGGCUCAACCGGGGAAGCGGCGCCGAUACGACCGGCCUGGAGGGGCGUAGGGGGACCUGGAACUUCCGGUGGAGCGGUGAAAUGCGUUGAGAUCGGAAGGAACGCCCGUGGCGAAAGCGAGGUCCUGGACGCCUACUGACGCUGAGGCGCGAAAGCCAGGGGAGCGAACGGG